GCUCUUAUAGUUGAAUAACAACGGUGGUUUUUCAAGUCAUUGGUCUCGGUUAGAUUCCGUGUAGGAGUU
rnacentral:tRNA from 1 species